AACGAACGCUGGCGGCAUGCCUAACACAUGCAAGUCGAACGAGACCUUCGGGUCUAGUGGCGCACGGGUGCGUAACGCGUGGGAAUCUGCCCUUGGGUUCGGAAUAACAGUUGGAAACGACUGCUAAUACCGGAUGAUGACUUCGGUCCAAAGAUUUAUCGCCCAGGGAUGAGCCCGCGUAGGAUUAGCUUGUUGGUGAGGUAAAGGCUCACCAAGGCGACGAUCCUUAGCUGGUCUGAGAGGAUGAUCGGCCACACUGGGACUGAGACACGGCCCAGACUCCUACGGGAGGCAGCAGUGGGGAAUAUUGGACAAUGGGCGAAAGCCUGAUCCAGCAAUGCCGCGUGAGUGAUGAAGGCCUUAGGGUUGUAAAGCUCUUUUACCCGGGAUGAUAAUGACAGUACCGGGAGAAUAAGCCCCGGCUAACUCCGUGCCAGCCGCCGCCGCAG
rnacentral:rRNA from 1 species